rnacentral:rRNA from 1 species
GAUGAACGCUGGCGGCGUGCCUAAUACAUGCAAGUAGAACGCUGAAGCUUGGUGCUUGCACCGAGCGGAUGAGUUGCGAACGGGUGAGUAACGCGUAGGUAACCUGCCUCUUAGCGGGGGAUAACUAUUGGAAACGAUAGCUAAUACCGCAUAAAAGUCGAUAUCGCAUGAUAUUGAUUUGAAAGGUGCAAUUGCAUCACUAAGAGAUGGACCUGCGUUGUAUUAGCUAGUUGGUGAGGUAACGGCUCACCAAGGCGACGAUACAUAGCCGACCUGAGAGGGUGAUCGGCCACACUGGGACUGAGACACGGCCCAGACUCCUACGGGAGGCAGCAGUAGGGAAUCUUCGGCAAUGGGGGCAACCCUGACCGAGCAACGCCGCGUGAGUGAAGAAGGUUUUCGGAUCGUAAAGCUCUGUUGUAAGAGAAGAACGAGUGUGAGAGUGGAAAGUUCACACUGUGACGGUAACCUACCAGAAAGGGACGGCUACUACA